GUUCGUCUCUGGCACCAGCACUGCUUCCUACUCAGAGUCCAGAGGACGUGGACACCGGGUCCUGCUGACCCUCGGCUCCUGUCCCCAGCCCACCCCCAACUCAUGAUCCUGCAGCUUUGGGCACCCGGAGCUCUAUGAACCCAACUACUACAGCGCCAACUGCACACCAGCUUCCAGGUCACAUGACCCAAUUAGGGCCAAGGCCCUGCUGAACUUGCUUGUUUGCUCCUGAGUUUCUGUGUUUCGAAGACAACAAUUCUAACACAUUCCCUAAGGCUCAGGUCUCUCAGGCAUCAAUCUUGGAUCAUAAUACGAUUCCAACUCUGGUGCCCAGGGCCCGGCUGGGGCCCAACGGGACGGCAGGAGGAAAGAGGGAGGCCCACGCUUCUCCUCCCAAGUGGCUGGUGUCCACCGGGCUCCCUCUCAGCCUCACACUCUGCGUCCCUCUGGGUGUCCUCGUGCAGGCCCGUGGCUUCCAACACCUCCUGGACACAAACCAUGCCUCUUCUCCACCCCUGAGCCCCAAACCCAUUCCUUCUCUGAUCUCUUCCUCUAGACUUUCCUUCAUGUCCCCACCCAGCUCCCCAAAAAUGCCAGGUUCGCUCCCAAAUCACAGAAUGUGCACAUACAGUUCCCUCUGCCUGGAACACAAGCCUCCCAGAUACCCAUCGCACUCGUUCCUUCACCUUUUUAAGUCUAGACUCAAAUAUCACAGGAGGUCAUUCCUGGUCACCCUUAGAACCAAAGUUCCAGCCCCACUGGCAGCCCUCCCUGCCCCCUCCCUGCCCCCUCCCUGCUCAAGUUCUCCGCAGCACUUACACAGCUGUACACUCCAUAACUUACUGUUUAUAUAUUGUCUUCUCCCGCUGUUAGAAUUUUGGCUUCACCUGUGAUGGUGAAGAGGAAGCGGGCCUGCCCCACCAAGAGCUCCUGAGCAUUUGCCCCUGCACCCAG
rnacentral:lncRNA from 12 species